rnacentral:rRNA from 1 species
UACGAAGGGGGCUAGCGUUGUUCGGAAUUACUGGGCGUAAAGCGCACGUAGGCGGGUCGUUAAGUUAGAGGUGAAAUCCCGGGGCUCAACCCCGGAACUGCCUUUGAUACUGGCGAUCUAGAGGUCGAGAGAGGUGAGUGGAAUUCCGAGUGUAGAGGUGAAAUUCGUAGAUAUUCGGAAGAACACCAGUGGCGAAGGCGGCUCACUGGCUCGAUACUGACGCUGAGGUGCGAAAGCGUGGGGAGCAAAC